rnacentral:rRNA from 1 species
UACAGAGGGGGCAAGCGUUGUUCGGAAUUACUGGGCGUAAAGGGCGCGUAGGCGGCCUGCUAAGUCGAACGUGAAAUCCCUGGGCUCAACCCGGGAACUGCGUCCGAUACUGGUGGGCUCGAAUCCGGGAGAGGGAUGCGGAAUUCCAGGUGUAGCGGUGAAAUGCGUAGAUAUCUGGAGGAAUACCGGUGGCGAAAGCGACUCUCUGGACGGCAACUGACGCUGAGGCACGAAAGCGUGGGGAGCAAACAGG